CCUUGCGUCUAUCCAGGCCGGCAAAGACACAACUAUUAGCCUGGCUCCCCUGAAUGCUAGAUCGCUAGCAAACAAGACAUUCAUUCUGAAUGACUUCUUCACCUCUCGUGAAUUGGAUUUUAUGUUUCUGACGGAGAGUCAGAUCGGUGAGUCUAUCCAGUUGAACUGCUCUGAGUUGAACUCUGAACUGCUCCCCCCGGAUUGUGUGUAUUUCAGCUCCCCCCGACCCACCGGCCGAGGUGGAGGGGUAGCAUCCGUUCUCAAGUCCAGCUUUCAAUGUCAAGUGUCACCGUUGUUCUCCUUCUCCAGCUUUCAGCUGCAGACUUUCGUUUUAAACUGUAAUCCACCCAUCAUGGGCGCGGUAGUCUACCGUCCGCCUCGGUUCAAUAAGGAUUUUAUAAAGGACUACACGGAUUUUAUGGCAGGACUGACGGUGAACUAUGACCGAUGUUUAAUUGUUGGGGACUUCAAUAUUCACGUCUGCUGCGAAUCACGUCUCACGAGACCUUCAGAACCUCAUUGACUCUUUUAAUAUUAUUUAGUCUGUAUCUGACCCAACACAUGAAAAGGGACACACACUGGACCUCGUAUUGUCAUUUGGUCUGCAGAAAUCUGCAAAGGAAACAACAGCAGUCCUGUCCAUUAUGUACUGUCCGACGAAGUGACCCCUCCUGGUGGGUCAGGGGAGAAAUAAAAUGUUCUCCUACAGAGGACCACAUCAUCCGCAAAAAGCAGGGACGAGAUCCUCAGAUCACUGGGACGAAAACUGCAUUGUUCCUCCUUGAUCAGAGGUUCAGCUAUCGAUCAGACCCUCUUUUCCAGCACCCUGGCAUAGACUUUCCCUGGGAGGCUGAGGAGUGUGAUCCCCCUAUAAUUGAAGCACACCCUCUGGUCCCCUUUCUUAAAGAUGAGAACCACCACCCUGAUCUGCCAAUCCAGAGGCACUGGCCCCAUUGUCCCUGCAGUGUUGCAGAGGGGUGUCAACCAAGGCAGCCCCACAACAUCCAGAGCCUUGAGAUACUCAAAGUAUUCCUUCCACCGCCAGUCAGUAGCUCCUCGUUGCUGUCUUCCACCCCUGAGGCACCGGACGGUUUGCCAGAACCUCUUUAGAGCCAACCGAUAGCCUUCUUCCAUAGCCUCACCAAACUCCUCCCAUGCCCUCAGUGACUACCCUGCUAGUUUCCAUAAAUGAGGAUCAGACCGUCAAGGCCCCCGCAGCCCAAUCCACACUGCACCGGACUCUUCCUGGACCUCAUGCGAGUGGUGGGCCCACAGGGAGGUGAGUCCAUGUAACCCGUUCAAGCUGGGCCCGGCCAGGCCUCACAGACAAAGGCCCGACCACCAGGCGAUUGCCCACGAGCCCCAAAGCCAGGUACACUGACUCUCGCUUGAAUUUAUAAUUUAGGGUCUUAUGAACCGUACUUUGUCUAACCCUUCACCUAGGACCAAUCUGAGGAGCAUCACUCCAUCACUGAUUUUUAUUAUAGCCCAGAUGUGUUAACUUUACUGUUGUUGUUUUGAUAAUUUUGACUUUAAUUUCUCAUUAUUGCUGUUUAAAUUAUGAUUAAUGACUUAUUUGUGUGUAUUUUCAUGCAACAGAAUUAAUUGAAAUGUGACCCAUAACUUGUAAAAGAAUUCUAUUUGUUUUUAAAAAAUGAAAGACACUAACCUCUAAAUCAUAACUGUAUUUAAUAUAUUAUAUUUUAGUUGGGACAAAUGGCUCAAACCAGGAGCGAGGCCACGGUGGGAGUGCCUCACUAGCACCUCAGAUAGCCAUUCACCUAGCUCAGUAGCCUGAGCUAACUCGGUAGCACGGAGUUUGGUGAGCAGGUUUCAACGUUCAGGCUGCUUUAGCUCCGUCCCAACACAACCCGCAUAUCCAUAUUUGAAGUAUCUGAGUGUGGGCGGAGUAAAGCUCAUCCAAUAUGGUGGUUGCAGGCUUCACCCACUUUGGGCUUCAUUUUGAGAUUCAGAAUCCAACGGUUGAUGUCACAAUAGGUUUGUCUAUAGUAUAUACAGUCAAUGGGUGGCAUCUCUGUGUUCACACUGAUAGAGGGGAGGGGAAGGGAUACACACAUGCAACGCAGAGAGCACAGUAGUACAUGAACAGUAGAUAGGGAUAGAAAUGAAAGAAAACAGUAAAGUCUGGACACAUUUUAAUGUACUUGAUGGUACAAAGGUAGAGCGUACACUGUGUCAGUCAAAAUGUCAUGCUCCACUAAUAACUUGCACAGGCACAUGCAAACUGUCCAUAUUUGUUUUUGUAUUUUAUUAUGUGAUAAUAUGUUUUUUGUAGGAGGUACAGCGGUGUGGUGGUUAGCACUGAUGCCUCACAGUAAGAGUCAACACAUGUGACUAUAUCCUCCUGUCUCCUGUGGGUACUAAAAGGUAUAUUCUGGAAGCUUUCAUUGCUACGCGCUAAGGAAAAGAAGAAAAGGAAAUUUUCUGACACAAAGUUUGAUUUGCCAUGUUACCCAGCAAUAUUUGGGGCACUACAAAGCAUGCUGUAAUGCUGUAAUGCUGUUUUUGCAAACCAUUAUACUUCUAUCAGUCUUGUAUUCUGUACCAUGAAAAUCAAUUCAAGGGUACUGGCUAGUUACUGACUCCCAAACGUUCCAGCAUGGAAGUUUUAUGUCAACACUGUUACUGUCAUUUUCAACACUCUUACUGUCAUUUUCACAAAAUAAAUCUGUUCUAGGUGAACUUUCUCUGGGAAGAUGAUGGAUGCCUCUUCACUUGUGCUAUACAUGGGUGUUUCAAUGUGAUUCUUUGAACUUAAAAGUAACAAACGCAGCAUACAAUGCAGAACAAAUAAAGUAAAAGCCAUCAGUGUUGCUGCUCCGCUCCACCUGAUGUAUUUUUGGCUGCGGCUGUGUCCCAGUUGUGUGCGGCUCCUUGGUGUUGGGAGGCAGGUGAAGGGUGUCUGGUGACAAAAUGCCUGGUGUGUAGCCUAUUUUCCAGGUUCUGACCUUCUCUGAAUACACUGCUGUGAGCAUAACGAAGAUGAAUUGGAGCACAGAGGCUGUCCACUGUUAGAAAAACAAAAAAAGAACAAGAGUAAAACAUGGAGUUUGUCUCAUUUUCUCUUUCAAUUUGCUUGUUACUCUGCCUUCCUUUUGCCAUUUCAUUCUUCCCUGUUUCCUCUCUGCACAGUAAUAGAGUAUUUGAGGUCAGUUCUAGGUUCACAGGAAGGGUUUGAACCAACAGUAGAAGAAGAUUGUCUGUCUUAACCUGCAUGACAUGGAAACACAACAAAAUAGAAUUAAUAAUUUACAGUUAACACUAAACAAGUGAAAGAUUCAGAUUUCAACCUCUACAGCUCCAAAUGCGAAGAUGCUUUUGCUCCUCCGGGUCAUUGAGUGUUAGAAAUUACUCCCUUACACAUGUCAUUGUCCUCCAGGGAGAAGGACAACAUUUUGGUGAUGGACACAAAUGACACAAGUCUGAAGUAGUCGCAGUCAAGACUGCUAUGGAGCGCAUUUGAUUUAGAAAUCGAGGAAAGCUAGUCUCAAACUGUCAGCACAAAAAAUAUGUUUUCUACCAUCUCUUUGUAGAUGACACUCAUUUGCUGGUGGAUGUUAUGGACUCUGGUUACCCAAGGUAACUCUCUUGCUUUGGGGCUCCUUCACAUGUAGGUAAAUCUCAUUGUGCAAGCUUCCACAAGUCGUACGAAACCAGUUUUAUGAGGUUACCAAAGAGAAAUGCAGGAAACCUCUUCAAGAAAUUAUUCCGUGCCUUUUGGAUAAAAAAAACUGAAUGUUUUCACUAGUGUACCUAAUGAACUGGCAAGUGUAUAUUCAUACAUAAAGUUGGAAUAAAAUAUAUUUUUUUUACCUCUUAUGAAAUAAUUGUGACAAUGUGACCUACUCUUGUCUUGUGCAGAACUUCUCAAAAUGUUACUGAUAAAGAAAGGUGGCUGAAAACAAAACUAUUCCAACUUCAUGGGCAACAGUGCAUAACACAUACCUUCACUUAAUUAAGUGCUUAAUGCAGAAAUCCCCCUGGUAUCAUGCAUCAAUUAGUACAAUCCACACCAGUUUGGCUUUUUUUUUCCAGCUGUACUUUUUUUUUUUUUUUUUUUUUUCCCAAUUGGCCUUGAUCUGCUAAAGGCUUUUUCAUGUUAAAAGGGGAUUUUACUUGCAAUGGUCACAUUAAUCUGGGCUAUGAGGAUAUUAGACUGAUCUGGCGUAUGAUGACUUUCUAAUAUUGUGUUAUUUGUCAUUUUGCUGCCAAAACUGCCAUGACCUGUUGAGGCAUGGACUCCACUCGACCUCUGAAGGUGUGCUGUGGUAUCUGGCACCAAGAUGUUAGCAGCUGAUCAGAUUGGACUGGGCUUCAGCCAAGUCUGAUCUUUACUAGUUAUUUAUUUUCCCUGCAGAGUCCAGCAAGCUCAACUUACCCGGGUUACUCCAACUUAUCCAGCUGAAACUAUCCACAACAAUGGCAAUCUGUAUAAGCGGUAUCACGACACUGGUUAUCAACAGGGUAACUUAACCCAGGUUUGUCUUGUUGUGAAUCAUUGAACGCAAUUGGGUCUUCAUUGAAAGGGCAUAUGAUUCUUUCCCGAACAGCUCAUUCGGCUGGUGGGUGGAGCCUUUUAUCGGAUUCAGAUAAAUCCUGAAAGUUAUCCUGACCCAAAGCAGGUUUGCAGUUCAAAGCUUCAGGUGGUGCAGGAUGUAGUGCAGAGCCACGUUGACUGCAUCAUCCACGGAUCUCUUUGCCCUAUAGGCAAACUGCAGAACGGUCUAACGGUCAGUGAUGGUCUUCAGGUGGGCCAACAUCAGUCACUCAAAGGACUUCAUGACCACAGACAUCAGGGCGACUGGUCUGUAGUCAUUUAAUCCUGUGACAGGGGCCUUUUUGGGGUCCGGGAUGAUGGUGGAGCAUCUGAUGCAGGAGGGGACCUCACAGAACUACAGGGAGCUGUUGAAGAUCUGAGUGAAGACGGGAGCCAGCUGGUCAGCACAGGCUUUCAGGCAGGACGGAGACACUUCAUCGGGUCCUGGAGCCUUCCUGAUCCUGAGGAUGCAAGUCCUGUUCAUAGAUCCUCAGUGCAGGCACGGGGCCAGACAGGGGGUGGGGAUCGGGGUGCAGGUAUAUCCAGGAAGGGGCAGAGCUGACUCUUCUUCCUUCAGAGACUCAGAUUCUUCAACGUGUGUAGUGAAAUGCUACUGUUAUUCAACCAGUCGGUGGUUGCCAGUGCUAUACUAGUUAAGGAGGCUGGGUUUCUGAUUGGCAGGAAGCUGGACUCACUACGGACUAUUGUUUAGAGGCGCACGUGCAACACAGUGCAGUCCAUUCUGGACAACAUCUUCAUGACAUCCUGGAGGGGCAGAGAAGCAGCAACAGUGAGAGGCUUCUCUCACUACGCUGCAGGACUGAGAGGUUCAGGAGGUCCUUUGUCCCCACAGCCAUCAGACUGUACAAUGCCACUGUCUAAAUGCUUAAAUCCUCACUUACUCACUCACACUUGUAAAUUGAUCAACUGUACAUAGUUUUACAUGUUAAUACGUGUUAGUACAGUCUUAUACAUAUUUCCAGUCUUUCUUCUUCUUUUGCACUGUUGAUUCUGUGAUCUUGUUGGUGUGUUAUGUUCUGUUGAUGUUUGUGUAUAUGUGUGCACAAGCUACUGGACACUCUAAAUUCCCCCAGGGGAUGAAUAAAGUAUUUUUUUCUAUUCCAUUCAGUCAUUAAGUAGUUCACAGUAGCAAAUCAUACA